rnacentral:lncRNA from 1 species
AAUAGAGCGUCUGAUCAAAACCAGAAGACACUUGAAGAUGGUACUCACGGAGACACUCUUUUGACGAGGAACAUGCGAAUGCGAUACCAUUAUAUCAAUAGCAUGCCCCGGUGCGAUUAAAAAAAAAAAAAAUCCUAUUUUUCACCAAAUAAUCUGAUGAAAAGAAGUAAAUAUGUCAAAUAUAUAUAACUUUAGGUCAUUUCUGGAUGUGGAUUUUCUAUAUAUUUCAGUAUAAUCAAGUCUUAAACUUUUUGGUCCCUGU